AUUCGCUAGUAAUCGCGCAUCAGCCAUGGCGCGGUGAAUACGUUCCCGGGCCUUGUACACACCGCCCGUCAAGCCAUGGGAGCCGGGGGCGCCUGAAGUCCGGGACCGCGAGGACCGGCCUAAGGCGAAACUGGUGACUGGGGCUAAGUCGUAACAAGGUAUC
rnacentral:rRNA from 1 species